rnacentral:rRNA from 1 species
AAUCAACGUUGGCGGCGCGCUUAACACAUGCAAGUCGAACGAGAAAGUGGAGCAAUCCAUGAGUAAAGUGGCGUACGGGUGAGUAACACGUGGGUAUCUACCUUUUGGUGUGGAAUAACUCUGGGAAACCGGAGCUAAUACCGCAUAAGUCCGUGAGGAGAAAGUCGCAAGACGCCGAUAGAGGAGCCCGCGGCCGAUUAGCUAGUUGGCGGGGUAAUGGCCCACCAAGGCUACGAUCGGAGCCGGCCUGAGAGGGCACACGGCCACACUGGCGCUGAAACACGGGCCAGACUCCUACGGGAGGCAGCAGUGGGGAAUCUUGCACAAUGGGGGCAACCCUGAUGCAGCGACGCCGCGUGAGUGAUGAAGCCCUUCGGGUGGUAANACUCUUUCGUACAGGAACGAUAAUGACGGUACCCGUGGAGAAG